CAGUGGCGAACGGGUGAGUAACACGUGGGCAAUCUGCCCUGCACUNUGGGACAAGCCCUGGAAACGGGGUCUAAUACCGGAUAUUACCUUCCCCUGCAUGGGGGUUGGUGGAAAGCUCCGGCGGUGCAGGAUGAGCCCGCGGCCUAUCAGCUUGUUGGUGGGGUAAUGGCCUACCAAGGCGACGACGGGUAGCCGGCCUGAGAGGGCGACCGGCCACACUGGGACUGAGACACGGCCCAGACUCCUACGGGAGGCAGCAGUGGGGAAUAUUGCACAAUGGGCGAAAGCCUGAUGCAGCGACCGCCGCGUGAGGGAUGACGGCCUUCGGGUUGUAAACCUCUUUCAGCAGGGAAGAAGCGAAAGUGACGGUACCUGCAGAAGAAGCACCGGCUAACUACGUGCCAGCAGCCGCGGUAAUACGUAGGGUGCGAGCGUUGUCCGGAAUUAUUGGGCGUAAAGAGCUCGUAGGCGGCCUGUUGCGUCGGUUGUGAAAGCCCGGGCUUAACCCCGGGUCUGCAGUCGAUACGGGCAGCCUAGAGUUCGGUAGGGGAGAUCGGAAUUCCU
rnacentral:rRNA from 1 species